AGUGAACGCUGGCGGUAGGCCUAACACAUGCAAGUCGAACGGCAGCACAGUAAGAGCUUGCUCUUACGGGUGGCGAGUGGCGGACGGGUGAGGAAUACAUCGGAAUCUACUUUUUCGUGGGGGAUAACGUAGGGAAACUUACGCUAAUACCGCAUACGACCUACGGGUGAAAGCAGGGGAUCUUCGGACCUUGCGCGAUUGAAUGAGCCGAUGUCGGAUUAGCUAGUUGGCGGGGUAAAGGCCCACCAAGGCGACGAUCCGUAGCUGGUCUGAGAGGAUGAUCAGCCACACGGGAACUGAGACACGGUCCAGACUCCUACGGGAGGCAGCAGUGGGGAAUAUUGGACAAUGGGCGCAAGCCUGAUCCAGCCAUACCGCGUGGGUGAAGAAGGCCUUCGGGUUGUAAAGCCCUUUUGUUGGGAAAGAAAAGCAGCAGGUUAAUACCCCGCUGUUCUGACGGUACCCAAAGAAUAGGCACCGGCUAACUUCGUG
rnacentral:rRNA from 1 species